CACCAGAUAUAACGUGGUUCAGCAAAAUGCCUACGUCCACGGGAUAGCAACAACAAGAACUUCCACUAUGAUAAUGUGGGUACAAGAGAUACACAACUUCAAGAACACUACUUGAAGGAAACUCUCUCUCACACUUGUUUUUCUACCUAACAACAACUACACUCUCAACAUGUAGUAAAACACUCUUCACUCUCUACUUGGAUGAAGAUGUUUUUCUCUCUAUCUGCAGUUUGGACUCACUGCCUUUACUCUCUCUACACAAGCUGGCCGAUAAGAGGAUUUUGUGAACUUCUGCCGUUCCUUCUCUUUCUCUCCAGCUCUUUAUAAACAAAAAAGAGGUGUGAAAGGAACAGUCACUAUUCAUUUCCUUUCACUUUCACCUUUUCUCUUUUUGCUUUCACCUUCCAUGUUUCCUGCAGCAUGCUUUUCCCUUUUGUCUUCCACUUUCUUUAUCUUGCUUUCUUUCUUUGCCUCCCACGUUCUUCUUCCUCCAAUUAAGGAGGGAUGGCCCAACACAUAUAACUGCUUAUGAAAGCUGUUACUUGGAUCGGAAGAAAGAGAGAUGGAGUGGAGACCAAUAAUCUUGACGGAGCCGGAGGCCAUGGACGUGUUGAGGCAAGUCAAAUUAAUUGGGGUGAAAAUCGAUCUAGACGAAGUUUCUCGCGCAAGGGCCAUCGAGGCCAUCGAUUCGUUCCUCAAACAAUACGAGGAAUGUUUUUGGUCAAUAGUGAUCGCGGAGAUCAGCACAGCGAUCAGAGAAGAGCUCCUAAAAUCUAGGAAUGUGAUCGACGUCGAGUUGGUUAGACAAGUUGUUGAGUAUCUUUCAAACGGCGGCGUGGAGAAGAAGAAGGAGGAAGGUUUGGAGGAGGAGGAUGGUUCGUACGAGGAGGGAUUGGAGGAGGAAGAUGUGGAAGACGAGGAGGGCUCGGAGGGAUUGGGGGAGGAGUUGGAAGAUGAAGAAGAUUCGGAUCAGGAGUCGGAUGAGGAUUCCGAUGAUGAUGAUGUGGAGGCGGUGGCGGAGGGGAAAACAGAGGUGGUGAUGGAUUAUGAGGAGGAGGAGAUUGAUGAUUUUAAUGAUCCAACAACGAGAGAAGAAUGCAUGGAGGAUCUGUUGCUUGUGUGCAGUCGGAUAUAUGGGAUUGAGUAUGAAACAAGGCGAUGAGGGGGAGAUCCUGGAUAUGAUGAUUCCCUACAUUCGUGGAUGCCCUAUGUAUCGCAAGGGAAUCACAAUUUUCAUGACAUGGGUGAGAGAGCAUAUAUAUCGAUAGGUGUAGCACCCUCAACGAUUUGGAGACGGUGAAGAACGCCCUCAAGAGUAGCAUUUUUCUAGAGGAAUAUGAGGACUGGAAAAAAGAGCAGACCAUCACCAGUAGGCAGGAAAAGGAGGAUAAGGUUGAUGUUAAGGACCAAGUUCUGAAACAGGAGGAGGAGGAUAAGGCUGAUGCUAAGGACCAGGUUCAUCAACUGUUAAAGAAUAAUAUCCUACCGAUUAAAGAAGAAGGGAUUGCUACCCACAUGAACCAGAUAAAACACUUAAGAAGAGAAUUGUUACUUUCUCCUACAAGCCAUAUGGAAUGUGGAGAUUUGAUAGAAAUUGAAGAAUGCGAGACUUUAACCACCUUGAACCUGCCAGAACAAGCAAAAGAAAGUAAGGGCAAUGCUUAUUCCUGCAUCAAAGAAAGUUUGGAAAGGGGUGAAGCUAAUAAGAGAAAGCUUGCCCAGAUCUAGCCCCAGUAUUUUGUUUAGUAUGUUCAAGAUUGGGAGUUUAAUUAGUAUGUAAUCAGGGCCGGUCCUAAGUUUUUCAAGGUCCUAGGCGAAAAAUAACAUAACUUGUAUAUUCAUCAAUAAGAUGAAAUGAAAAAAAAAAAGUCUUCAAUAAUUGAGA